rnacentral:rRNA from 1 species
UGGGGAAUCUUGGACAAUGGGCGCAAGCCUGAUCCAGCCAUGCCGCGUGAGUGAAGAAGGCCUUCGGGUUGUAAAGCUCUUUUACCAGGGACGAUAAUGACGGUACCUGGAGAAUAAGCCCCGGCAAACUUCGUGCCAGCAGCCGCGGUAAUACGAAGGGGGCUAGCGUUGUUCGGAAUUACUGGGCGUAAAGCGCACGUAGGCGGAUUGUUAAGUCAGAGGUGAAAUCCCGGAGCUCAACUUCGGAACUGCCUUCUAGACUGCAGGCCUGGAGGUCAGGAGAGGCGAGCGGAAUUCCGAGUGUAGAGGUGAAAUUCGUAGAUAUUCGGAGGAACACCAGUGGCGAAGGCGGCUCGCUGGACUGAUACUGACGCUGAGGUGCGAAAGCGUGGGGAGCAAACAGGAUUAGAUACC